rnacentral:lncRNA from 1 species
CAGUUAGAGGUUUCCAAGAGAUUUUGCGCUGGGGAGGCUGCUUGCUACAAGCUCCCAAAGCUCUGGGAGGACAUAGUAUUCAUUCCUCCCUCAGCAGAAGCGGUGAGGCAAGAAGCUCUGGGGAGCAUCCAGCCUUGGACUUUUAGCAUAGUGUGUCAGGUCUUCAUAGUUUGGGCCCAGGGCACAGAGAAGUCACAGCUCUCCGGCAUCCUGUGACCUUUACCCUCUUUGCCAAGGGAAAAUGUGGCCCUCCAAAGCAAGAAACUUGAGGUCAUGGGUCACCCCAGCCCUGGCAUCUGCCCAGAGCCCGAGAAGGAAGGAACAAUGAUCCUCCAGCUACCUCACAGGGCUGGCACAGGUGGCCACUGCCCUGGCAUCACCCAGCUGUGUUCGGCAGCCUGAACCCCAUCUGUGGGGAUGUGAGGAGGAAAAUACAAAAGUCAUUAGGUGAACACUGAGAAGGCAGAUGCAGCAGAAGCCUCCAGGCCAGAACUACCCAGUCUUGGACCUAUGGUGGAGAUAGAGCAUAGCUGGCGAUCAUGUGUACUUACACUCUAAGGUCACCUGGUUGCCCUAUGGCCUCAUCUGUGGCUCUGAAAAUGAAGAUUUGGAAGGAGAUCAUCACAGCUAAUGUUAACAAGCCCCUCCUGUGUGCCAAAUCAUUCACCCCUCACCACAACCAAAUGAGCUAAGGAUUCUCGUUAUAUAUAGUUUAUGGAGAGGGAAGUGCAGACAUAAAGAGGUGAAUUAUCUUACCCAGAUCACACAGCUGAUAAGUGGUGGAGGCAGAAUAGAAUCUAAACAGUGUGGCUCCGGAGCCCACAUGCAUUGAUUCGACAAGUGUUUAUUGAGCACCUGCCGCGGACAAGGCCUUGUGUGAUUAAAUAGGGUUAUAAUUAGUAAUAUAAAAAUGAGAAAUCACUAAUGCUUUUUAGACUUAACAUUUUCUUUCUUUGUAGGUUUCAGGCACAGAACUGUAUAUCCAAUAAUAGUGAAAUGGAUCCCACUAAUUAUGACCGAAAUGAUGAUACAUUUAAAUGACUUGGAUGUUUUAUAGGUAUGAUCUCGUGAAACCUUGAGAGAAACUGAAUGACGAAUGAAACUAUUGUUCCUGUUUCACACAGAAGAAAACUGAGGUUAAAAGGGGUAAAGUAAUUUUGCAUGGCAUGAAGUAGAAAUUCAAAGUACAGGAAUUUGAACUUGGUUCUGUCCUUUUCUGAAGCCCUUGACCACUAUAGACUCAAACAUCACCUUGUUUUUCCACUCAUUCAACACUUUUU